rnacentral:RNase_MRP_RNA from 1 species
CCUGUCUGCGAAGCCGUGCUUCCCCUGCCCCCGGAGGGAAAGCGACAUUGCCCUCACGGCGUCGGCCCAACAUCUAUAUCGGGGGCAUGAGGAGAGUGACUCACGGCAUGUCUGUGC